rnacentral:ncRNA from 1 species
UUAAUUGAGAGUUUGAUCCUGGCUCAGGAUGAACGCUGGCGGCGUGCCUAACACAUGCAAGUCGAACGAAGGUAUAUAUAGGAAGUCUUCG